AAUAUGAAACGGUAUUUUAACAGUAAGUGGGAAGGACGAAAAAGUUUUAAGUUUUAUGAAAAUUUCUUGGGAGAAUUUAUUAACUGGAACGUCAAAUGAGUCCGAAUUGACCAAACCUUCCAAUCGAAGAAAUCGAAGGAAACGUGUUAUUUGGGUGUCUUCUCGCUGCUCGUUUUGGCUCCAUCUUCGGAUCAGUAACAUGAUUUUCAGUCUUGAUGGAAGGAGAUAACCUCGUUGAGCAUCUCACUAGAAAGAAAACAGGAAGAAUUUUUACGAAGCAGAAGAGGAUAAUAAUACAUUUUACGGGUAACAUUUGGUGAUGUAUCGAAUAUCCUUAUUGUUUGUGGACUGUGGUAAUAAGUAUUGUGAUAUUUUACGUGUCUUUCUUGACUAAAUUAUUUUACAAUAAAAGCUAUAAAAUGUGAAAGCUGAAAAGUAAGUCGAUUCGGAGAAAGAGCCUACACGGCUAAUAUCUCCAUGCAAACCGUGAGGAAAGGAAGAAGAAGAAGAACCGAAAGAUUCAUUACUCAACAUUCAAGAGCAUUCCUGUGUACUAAAUGAAGAAUUCUUUCCGGGAAAACACAAGAGUUGAAAAAUACGUUUAACGUCUGUUGUUAACGUAAAACUAAAAUUCAAGCCAGUGUUAUGAAAUAAUACAAAAAUAUAUCAACAAAGAAAAUGUUUUUCGUGCAAGUGAAGAAAAAAACAAAAAUCGACGAUGUUUUAAAAUUAUAUAUAUAAUAGUUUUGUUUUUGGUAAAUACAUUCCGUUUAUAUUGUUUUCAGAAGAAAAAUGUAUAAAUGACUUUGUAAUACUGGUAAUGCGUAUUUAUAAUACGUGUGAAUUGUUAGUGCUUCUGAUGUCGUGGUAUCCUUCGUGUAGGUUUGAUCUUUAAAUAUUUCUUAGAGACAAAAUUUUCCCUUUUCUGGUUUCUUUAUCUGCAUCCAAAACUUUAACAACACAUUUAAAAUUUAUUAAAAAAAAUAGUAAAAAUAACCAUAUUUUUUCGUACGUUUAAGUGACAGUGGUGUAGAAAAUAAAUCUCACAAGCAUGAACAAAAACAAAAUAAUAAUAAUAAUAAUAAUAAUAACAAAUAUACCUUAAGCAAACUUAAACAGUUUAUUAUUACAACUGUAAGAUCUAAAGUUCAAUCCUAUGUAAUUUCAUGUACAAAUUUGUGUAACAACUGUUUAUACUGCAGUAGAGAAUAUUAAAAAGAAUUUUACUAAUGGCACAUUCUUAAUAA
rnacentral:lncRNA from 1 species